GGGCUCAUGGUCCAACAGGACGACGCCAGCUCCGCAAGCUGGAGAUCCGGGUGCGACUCCCGGUGGGUCCA
rnacentral:tRNA from 1 species